GAUGAACGCUAGCGGCAGGCUUAACACAUGCAAGUCGAGGGGCAGCGCGGGAUAGCAAUAUCCUGGCGGCGACCGGCGGAAGGGUGCGUAACGCGUGAGCGACAUGCCCGUUGCCCGGGGACAACCGGUGGAAGCGCCGACUAAUCCCCGAUGGGAUACGAUGCUUCAUGGCAUUGUAUUGAAAGUUACGGCGUCGGCGGAUUGGCGCGCGUGCGCUUAGCUGGGUGGCGGGGUAGCGGCCCCCCAAGGCUGCGAUCGGUAGGGGUUCUGAGAGGAAGGCCCCCCAAGAGGGGAAUGAGACACGGCGCAUACGCCUACGGGAGGCAGCAGUGAGGGAUAGUGGUCAAGGGGAGGAAGCCUGAACCAGCCGAGCCGCGUGCGGGAAGGAGGCCGUGUGGGCUGUGAACCGCUGUUGCGUGGAGGGAAUAAGGGCGUCGCGCACGUCCGAUGAGGGUACCAGGCGAAUAAGCAUCGGCUAACUACGUG
rnacentral:rRNA from 1 species